rnacentral:rRNA from 1 species
UACGUAGAAUGCAAGCGUUGUCCGGAAUUAUUGGGCGUAAAGAGCUCGUAGGCGGUCUGUCGCGUCGGAUGUGAAAACUCGGGGCUCAACUCCGAGCCUGCAGUCGAUACGGGCAGACUAGAGUGCUGUAGGGGAGACUGGAAUUCCUGGUGUAGCGGUGAAAUGCGCAGAUAUCAGGAGGAACACCGGUGGCGAAGGCGGGUCUCUGGGCAACAACUGACGCUGAGGAGCGAAAGCGUGGGGAGCGAACAGG